UACGGAGGGUGCGAGCGUUGUCCGGAAUCACUGGGCGUAAAGGGCGCGUAGGUGGCCCGUCAAGCGCGCGGUGAAAGCCCGGGGCUCAACCCCGGGUCGGCCGUGCGGACUGGCGGGCUCGAGCACUGUAGGGGCGGGUGGAAUUCCGGGUGUAGCGGUGGAAUGCGUAGAUAUCCGGCGGAACACCGGUGGUGAAGGCGAUUCCCUGGACCGAGGCCGACGCUGAGGCGCGAGAGCGUGGGGAGCGAACCGG
rnacentral:rRNA from 1 species